rnacentral:rRNA from 1 species
UUUAUUGGAGAGUUUGAUCCUGGCUCAGGAUGAACGCUGGCGGCGUGCCUAAUACAUGCAAGUCGAGCGAAUGGAUUGAGAGCUUGCUCUCAAGAAGUUAGCGGCGGACGGGUGAGUAACACGUGGGUAACCUGCCCAUAAGACUGGGAUAACUCCGGGAAACCGGGGCUAAUACCGGAUA